rnacentral:lncRNA from 1 species
UAUAUACUUUUUUAUAUAUGGACGGUGUGAAAUUUAUAGAAAUUGCGUGUCCUGCAUCCAAGAUGAUAAUGGUAGCUAGUGUUUGAAGGGUGCCAAAAUAAAGUGAUAUUUUAUGUGUGUGCCAAAGGUAUUUAGAAGGAAGGAAGCAAGCAAAUCUGAAAGAAAAAAAGUUGGAAAGGUUGAUUCACUAAAUGGUCAUGAUUUCUAGGUAGUGAAAAUGAAAAUGCAUAAUUUCACAAUUCUGCCCUUUGAUUACAUCUUGACAAGUGGGAUGUAUCACUUUCCAUAAACUAAUUUGAAGUCCAUAGGCCUGGUCUCUCGUGGUUUCACUCCGAGGUAGUAAAUCUUGACACAAACAGAGGGACUAUUUGUGAAAGGUAUUUCUUAAACACAAAUAUAUCCCAAGGAAUUUAAUGCUGGUUCGUGUCUGCAAUAAAAAGAUAAUUAAAAGCGUCUAUGUUUUCGAUUUUAUUGCACUGACUUAUAUAUCAAUCCUAACAUUUAUUUGUACAUUUUUCUGGUGUUUUCUAAUAUAUGACAAAAUGUAUAUCCACGCAAUCAAGAAUGUUUACUGAUACAAUUUUUCUUCCAUUUCAGAUUAUAUUCGAAAAAUUAAAUGCCAUUUUUUCUGGCAUAUUCACGAAUGAAGAUGAAACACAGCUGUCAGGGAGAACAAAUGCUCAACUGCGUCACAGUUUCACCGCAAGAAUAUUGCUUUACAGGAUACGAUAUUGAAAACAAAAGCAAGAUGUUUGGAAGAAGGGCCCUUGGUUGGUUGUUUGGUAAUAGUAAAGGUAGGACUACUGUUUAUGAUAUGUGUUGCUUAAAACAAAUACACCGUAUGGCAUGUUUCGGAUACAAGAGUCGAAACUAACGGUUCAUACAUUGGCGACGCUGAGUGGUGGACCGAGUCUGGUCAAUCCUUUUAGAGUUCUAUAAAAAAAAUGAAAAGGGAUGUCUUUGUCCUUGUUUAGGCAGUCAUUUUGACCGAUGGGGACGCGACUGGUUUCAUAUUAAUCAGAUCGUGGUCGAGACAUGAUUAUCCUAUUUUUCUUCGAUUUCGAUCUUGUAUUCAAGUUUGGACUCAGUCUGUGUAAAUCAGCAAAAACUUUUUUACGAGAAAAAAUCUGCUAAUAAUGAACGGCGUUGCCAUCUUCCUCGGUUAAAAAUUACGUACAAAACUGACCGAAAUAAAAAAUGCAAAUACAAACUAAAGUUAAUCAUUUGACAAUCAGUCUAUUGCCUCGCUCAUCCCUACUCAAGAGUGCGUGUGCGUAUGUAUAUGGAUGUGUACACAUGUGCGUGCGCGUGUGUGUGUGUGCGUAUGUAUGUGGGUGGGUGUGCGCGUGCGCGUAUGUAUAUGGAUGGGUGUAUGCGUGGGCGUGAUAAUAGUGUAUGAGAAUGUCUAUAGGACUUCAUUAUAGUACCAUUAUCAAGAUAUAGGUUUAUUUCUCAAUAUCUCAACAUAAAAACCCGGAGAUAUAGAUGAUUAUACUCUGCAAAGUCCGUUCUCAGUCACUUACUUCGACUUUCAUGAGUAUUUUGUAUUACAUUUGUUAGUGGAUACAAAUUUUCUCUUAGCACCCUAGAUUUUAGAUGCUUUCAAUAUAUUUCUCCUCGUUAAUCAUUGAAUAUCUUAUGCUUGUAUAUGAAAAGAUGUCGAGCAUUGUUUUACAUUGUUAAUAUGUUUUAAGCAAUAAUUUAUUAGAUUCAGAUAUUAAUCAUGUAUCUGAACACGGACUUUCCAUGGUCACAUGUACACCAAAAAUACACUACAAUCACAGGAAAAUAAAAAUCCAGUAUCGCUUUGCUGAUGGAAUUUUAUUUUUUUAGCAUUUCUAAAUAAAGAAGAAAUACUGAAA